CGCACAGCGAAAGGUGCUUGCACCUUUCAAGUGAGUGGCGAACGGGUGAGUAACACGUGGACAACCUGCCUCAAGGCUGGGGAUAACAUUUGGAAACAGAUGCUAAUACCGAAUGAAACUUAGUGUCGCAUGAUACGAAGUUAAAAGGCGCUUUGGCGUCACCUAGAGAUGGAUCCGCGGUGCAUUAGUUAGUUGGUGGGGUAAAGGCCUACCAAGACAAUGAUGCAUAGCCGAGUUGAGAGACUGAUCGGCCACAUUGGGACUGAGACACGGCCCAAACUCCUACGGGAGGCUGCAGUAGGGAAUCUUCCACAAUGGGCGAAAGCCUGAUGGAGCAACGCCGCGUGUGUGAUGAAGGCUUUCGGGUCGUAAAGCACUGUUGUAUGGGAAGAACAGCUAGAAUAGGGAAUGAUUUUAGUUUGACGGUACCAUACCAGAAAGGGACGGCUAAAUACGUGCCAGCAGCCGCGGUAAUACGUAUGUCCCGAGCGUUAUCCGGAUUUAUUGGGCGUAAAGCGAGCGCAGACGGUUGAUUAAGUCUGAUGUGAAAGCCCGGAGCUCAACUCCGGAAUGGCAUUGGAAACUGGUUAACUUGAGUGCAGUAGAGGUAAGUGGAACUCCAUGUGUAGCGGUGGAAUGCGUAGAUAUAUGGAAGAAC
rnacentral:rRNA from 1 species